GGUACUAUAGUGUAGUGGUUAUCACUUGGGAUUUUGAAUCAUAUUCCCAUAACCCAGGUUCGAACCCUGGUAGUACCU
rnacentral:tRNA from 1 species